rnacentral:rRNA from 1 species
UACGUAGGGGGCAAGCGUUGUCCGGAUUUAUUGGGCGUAAAGAGCUCGUAGGCGGUUUGGUAAGUCGGAUGUGAAAUCUCCAGGCUCAACCUGGAGGGGUCAUUCGAUACUGCCAUGACUAGAGUUCGGUAGGGGAGUGUGGAAUUCCUGGGUGGAGCGGUGAAAUGCGCAGAGAUCAGGAGGAACACCCGUAGCGAAGGCGGCACUCUGGGCCGAUACUGACGCUGAGGAGCGAAAGCGUGGGGAGCGAACAGG